CCUACGGGAGGCUGCAGUGAGGAAUAUUGGUCAAUGGACGAGAGUCUGAACCAGCCAAGUAGCGUGAAGGAUGACUGCCCUAUGGGUUGUAAACUUCUUUUAUAUGGGAAUAAAAUGUUCCACGUGUGGGAUUUUGUAUGUACCAUAUGAAUAAGGAUCGGCUAACUCCGUGCCAGCAGCCGCGGUAAUACGGAGGAUCCGAGCGUUAUCCGGAUUUAUUGGGUUUACAGGGAGCGUAGGUGGAUUGUUAAGUCAGUUGUGAAAGUUUGCGGCUCAACCGUAAAAUUGCAGUUGAAACUGGCAGUCUUGAGUACAGUAGAGGUGGGCGGAAUUCGUGGUGUAGCGGUGAAAUGCUUAGAUAUCACGAAGAACUCCGAUUGCGAAGGCAGUUCACUGGACUGCAACUGACACUGAGGCUCGAAAGUGUGGGUAUCAAACAGGAUUAGAUACCCGUGUAGUC
rnacentral:rRNA from 1 species